rnacentral:rRNA from 1 species
CCUACGGGAGGCAGCAGUGAGGAAUAUUGGUCAAUGGACGAGAGUCUGAACCAGCCAAGCAGCGUGAAGGAUGACUGCCCUAUGGGUUGUAAACUUCUUUUAUAUGGGAGUAAAAUGUUCUACGUGUGUGAUUUUGUACGUACCAUAUGAAUAAGGAUCGGCUAACUCCGUGCCAGCCGCCGCGGUAAUACGGAGGAUACGAGCGUUAUCCGGAUUUAUUGGGUUUAAAGGGGGCGUAGGUGGGUUGUUAAGUCAGGGGUGAAAUUAUGCGGCUCAACCCUAGGAUUGCCUUUGAUACUGGCAGGCUAGAGUGCAGUAGAGGUAGGCGGAAUUCGAGGUGUAGCGGUGAAAUGCGUAGAUAUCACGAAGAACACCGAUUGCGAAGGCAGUUUACUGGGUUGCAACUGACGGUGAGGCACGAAAGUGUGGGGAGCAAACAGGAUUAGAUACCCGGGUAGUC